AGGAGAUAUAUUAAGCCAAUAGGGCAGGGAAUUACAUAGAAAAUAAGUUUCAGUUCUUAGGGGUGAUAAAUUACUGUAGAUAAGGAAUUCUGCACUUUGUAACAUAUAUUAAAUUCAUGUUAUUGUCAGAUAGAAUACUGAGGGUCCCUGAAGGAAGGAUUUUGAUAUGAUAAACAUUUGUUUUGAUCUUCUUUUUUUUUUGACUAUUAGGAGUUUAAAAAAAAUAGUAUUAAAUUUAACAGGUAUAUAGGACAUCUGUGAUGAUUUAGGAUUAUAGUUAGGUUGAUUAAGGAAAUGUAAGGACUUUAGAGAUUGACACUCAUAGACAUGAUUUUAGAUAAAGUCAAACAGUUAGAAGCUUAGUGGUAUUUGAGAGAUAUGAGAGAAAAGGUUUAAAUUGGUAAAUAUAUAUUUAAGAAAAUAUAUAAGUAGCGCAGAUAGUUCUUAAGUAGAUAAGAAACUUGACAGGGAAUUGGUACUGGAUUGACGCCCAAGGGAGAAUUGGACAUGUGGAAAACUAAAAGGGGCUCCUUCAUGAUGAUGUCAGACAUAAGGAUAAUAUACUAAUCUUACCUAAGUCAUUAUUUAGAGUAGGUAAGGUUGAUACCUGGGCAGAGUCAGGUAUCAAAAGGGGGAUGGGUAAAUUGUGGUCUAGGAUAGGAUGGGGCCUAUUGGAUAAGAAACUAAUCAUUUAAAAAAUGUAGCUAACAAUUGGGCAUAGAAGUUAAAGAUAUAAUCAGAUAAAACAUAUGAGAAUUUGUUUGUUAACCAAGCCUGUAUGUCCAGGAUUUUAUGCAUUACAGGUGAACUACAGGUGAAGUCACUCAAUCCAGUCCCAGAGGCUUGGGGACCAUAGAAGACCCCUGGUGACAGCUAGCUGAAAGAGCUACCCAGAUUCAUAUCGCACGGCGGAAGGUCUGUUACAGAUGUGGUGAAGGCUUCAGGCAUGAUGCCUUUGCUUGAUGCUCCAGUUGGCGAUGCCGAUACUGAAGCAUGCUUUCAGGGGAGGAUGGGACUGACUGAGGAUGACACAUGGUAUGCUGUGGGUGAGGUAGUAGAAUAAUUUUACACCACCACAGUUCCUUGUUAUAAAUUUUUAUGAUUUUUAUGUUUUCUUUCCAGUAUGUUUGUUCUCCCUGUUGUGAAGGUUUAGAGUCCCUGGGUGGCAAGGAGCCCACCUGGUACAGGGUAGGAGUAGCUGAGAGGACCAGAUGGUUUCUAAUAAUUCUUUACUCUGUUUUCCAUGACCAAAGUUUUAUCCUACAUCUUACAUGUCAAUAACAAUAAAGUUUUAUCCCGUUUUUGAUAAGUGACACCCUUGUGGGUGACAAAAGGGGGAAACAAAAGCAUACAACAAAAGCAUAUAUCACUUGUUAUUAAUAAUACACUUUUUAUUAUUUUCAUGAAAUGCUAUGACUGCUGAAAUAAAGGAUAAUGAGUGACACCCUAGCGGGUGUCAAAAGAGGGACUUAAAUUUCACACUAUUUUCUUUUGUUCUGUUUUUGAAUGAGCUGUUCUCUUUUGACAUGAAGGUAGUUUAAACUUUGUAACUGUUAUAUGAUUCAUUGCUGAAUUUUUGUUCACACCCUUGGGGUUAUUUUACAUUAUAGCCAUUACCAUAUAUAUGAUUGAAUAUUAUCUGCUGUUGCCUUGUGUGGAUGUAUGUAUGUGUUAUGCUACCUAGCUGAUUUGAAACAUUGUUAAAAGUAUCAGGGCCAUGGAAUUUUCUCAUGCUGGAAAAAUACAGAAGGGAGGGCACAUUCAGAGCGUGGGGUUGCGAGAACAAGCGGUCUUUUGUUAGAUAACAGGAGCCAGGUGCGAGAUAACGGUAUGGAGCAUGAGACCCAUCUUUCAGUUUUUGCAGCCAUUUUAGGAGGGGGAUCCAGUUGCUUUUAUUGAUUAAGCUUCUCCAUUGUAUGUCGUGUCCCAUCUGGGAUGGGAAGAGGGGGAAAUUAUUUUUCUUUGUGGGCCAUUUCCGUAUAGACUUACCUAGUUUAGGCUAUUUUUCCUUUUUGGAUUAUGUUUUCGUUUUUGCUUGGAGUAAUGUAUCUGGACUAUAUCACAUCUCUUAGGAGAUGUGAAGAGAGGAAUCACAACUUUUCCUGCGGGAAAAAGUUGGCUUAUGUGGACAAUCAUUUUACUUUUAUUUUGAGCUGUUGUUCUCCGCUCUGUUAAAUGAGGGUUGUAAGUUCCUAGGUGGCUGGUAGCCAACUUAGUACAUAGUGGGAUUGAAUGGAGAACAUGAUGGUAAUACAUAUAUAUCUAUUUCUGUUUAA